CGAAGGAUCCAAGCGUUGUCCGGAUUUACUGGGUUUAAAGGGUGCGUAGGCGGACUUUUAAGUCAGUGGUGAAAGCCUGUAGCUUAACUAUAGAAUUGCCAUUGAAACUGAAAGUCUCGAGUGUGGUUGAGGUAACUGGAAUAUAUCAUGUAGCGGUGAAAUGCUUAGAUAUGAUAUAGAACACCAAUUGCGAAGGCAGGUUACUGAGCCAUUACUGACGCUGAGGCACGAAAGCGUGGGGAUCAAACAGGAUUAGAUACCCUGGUAGUCCACGCCGUAAACGUUGCAUACUCGAUCUUAGCGAUACACAGUUAGGAUCCAAGCGAAAGCGUUAAGUAUGCCCACCUGGGAAGUACGUUCGCAAGAACG
rnacentral:rRNA from 1 species